rnacentral:rRNA from 1 species
AUUGCCUCAGUAACGGCGAGUGAAGCGGCAACAGCUCAAAUUUGAAAUCUGGCCCCCCUUGGGGGUCCGAGUUGUAAUUUGGAGAGGAUGUUUCUGGCGCGGCGCCUUCCGGAGUUCCUUGGAACAGGACGCCACAGAGGGUGAGAGCCCCGUACGGUCGGCCGCCUAGCCUCCACGAAACUCCUUCGACGAGUCGAGUAGUUUGGGAAUGCUGCUCAAAAUGGGAGGUAAAUUUCUUCUAAAGCUAAAUACUGGCCAGAGACCGAUAGCGCACAAGUAGAGUGAUCGAAAGAUGAAAAGCACCUUGAAAAGAGGGUUAAACAGUACGUGAAAUUGUUGAAAGGGAAGCGCCUGCGACCAGACUCGCGCCCCGCGGACCAGCCGGCGUUCUCGCCGGUGCACUCCGCGGGGGGCGGGCCAGCAUCGGUUUUCCCCGGGGGAGAAAGGCCGCGGGAACGUAGCUCCUUCGGGAGUGUUAUAGCCCGUGGCGCCAUGCCCCAGGGGGGACCGAGGACCGCGCUUCGGCAAGGAUGCUGGCAUAAUGGUCGUCGGCGACCCGUCU